rnacentral:rRNA from 1 species
ACGGGUGAGUAACACGUAAGGAACCUGCCUCAAGGAUUGGGAUAACUCCGAGAAAUCGGAGCUAAUACCGGAUAGUUCAACGGACCGCAUGGUCCGCUGAUGAAAGGCGCUCCGGCGUCACCUUGAGAUGGCCUUGCGGUGCAUUAGCUAGUUGGUGGGGUAACGGCCCACCAAGGCGACGAUGCAUAGCCGACCUGAGAGGGUGAUCGGCCACACUGGGACUGAGACACGGCCCAGACUCCUACGGGAGGCAGCAGUAGGGAAUCUUCCACAAUGGACGAAAGUCUGAUGGAGCAACGCCGCGUGAGUGAUGAAGGUUUUCGGAUCGUAAAACUCUGUUGUAAGGGAAGAACACGUACGAGAGGGAAUGCUCGUACCUUGACGGUACCUUACGAGAAAGCCACGGCUAACUACGUGCCAGCAGCCGCGGUAAUACGUAGGUGGCAAGCGUUGUCCGGAAUUAUUGGGCGUAAAGCGCGCGCAGGCGGCCUUUUAAGUCUGAUGUGAAAGCCCCCGGCUCAACCGGGGAGGGCCAUUGGAAACUGGAAGGCUUGAGUACAGAAGAGA